AGAGUUUGAUCCUGGCUCAGAACGAACGCUGGCGGCGCGCCUAAUACAUGCAAGUCGAGCGAGAAGACGUAGCAAUACGUUUGUAAAGCGGCGAACGGGUGAGGAAUACAUGGGUAACCUACCCUCGAGUGGGGAAUAACUAACCGAAAGGUUAGCUAAUACCGCAUACGACUCCUGGUCUGCGGAUCGGGAGGGAAAGCGAUACCGUGGGUAUCGCGCUCUUGGAUGGGCUCAUGUCCUAUCAGCUUGUUGGUGAGGUAACGGCUCACCAAGGCUUCGACGGGUAGCUGGUCUGAGAGGACGAUCAGCCACACUGGCACUGCGACACGGGCCAGACUCCUACGGGAGGCAGCAGUAAGGAAUAUUGCGCAAUGGGCGACAGCCUGACGCAGCGAUGCCGCGUGGGGGAUGAAGGUCUUCGGAUUGUAAACCCCUUUCGGCAGGGAAGAUGGAACGGGUAACCGUUCGGACGGUACCUGCAGAAGCAGCCACGGCUAACUUCGUGCCAGCAGCCGCGGUAAUACGAAGGUGGCAAGCGUUGUUCGGAUUUACUGGGCGUACAGGGAGCGUAGGCGGUUGGGUAAGUCCUCCGUGAAAUCUCCGGGCCUAACCCGGAAAGUGCGGAGGGGACUGCUCGGCUAGAGGAUGGGAGAGGAGCGCGGAAUUCCCGGUGUAGCGGUGAAAUGCGUAGAGAUCGGGAGGAAGGCCGGUGGCGAAGGCGGCGCUCUGGAACAUUUCUGACGCUGAGGCUCGAAAGCGUGGGGAGCAAACAGGAUUAGAUACCCUGGUAGUCCACGCCU
rnacentral:rRNA from 1 species